UUGAUAUAAGUAAACAAACUGAAAUUUGUAAUUGCCAAUCAGGAAAUCUUAAUGUCAAAUACUGAAUUCUUCCACCAACUAGCUGGGAGACAUAUCCAUUGCAGUGCCAAAUAAAGAAAGUUUUCCGAGAAUUAACAGCAGGACAAUGGUCCGCUUGUUGUAUAUAAUAAAUAUCACACUGGUGUUGUAUAUGUGUAGCCGGUGCUAGAAUUUACAUAUGCAUGCUCCACAACCUAUGUUCGUACAAACACAGAUCAUACCGAAGGAAAAAUAUGCUCUGGUCGGGAAGCAGAGUCCUGGACAAAAGUGAAGUUCACAAAAGACAAUCAUACAUAGGCCAUUGUUUUAACUCGUAGUUUAGGCCUUGCCAGACUCCUCGCAACCCGGUGGCCUGAAUGCGAUGAAGCUGACGCACUGCACCUGGCGCAGGUUGUCGAAGCCGAUGACGCGGACAUAGGCGUCAGGGUACUCCUUCUUGACCUCCUCCACCUCGUUGAGCACCUGCGUGGCGUCGGUGCACCCGAACAUAGGCAGCUUCCACAUUGUCCAGUAUCGACCGUCGUAGUACCCGGAGGAGCUGUUGUGCUCACGGAAGACGAAGCCAACCUUGCUGAACUCGAGGCAGGGCACCCACUUGGAGCGGAUCAGGUAGUCGACCUGCUUCAGGAGGGCCUCCGUGGAGAGGGGUGGCAAGUAAGACAGGGUCUCGAACUUCUUGAUGCCCUCAAUCGGCCACACCUGAAUGAAUGGAAAUUGUGGAAUGCACACAACUGCUUAACACUUGGUGCUAGUAAAUUGUACGUACAGAGGAAGAAACUCAUAUCAGUUUUGUGCCUCGAGUCUCGACAUACCUGCAUGCACCUGAUCCUUCCGCCAUUGCUGACGCGGCCGAGGCUGCCGCUGGAGCGGCGGCUGACGGGGAGACCGGCUGUGGACUUGAGCCCCUGGAAGGGUGCGACGGUGGUAGCCGACGAAGCCAUCACGGCGGGGGCCAUGGUAUUGUAUUAUCGGAGGAGAGGAGGAUGCCGGCUACAGGUGAGGCCACCAUUGCCGGGUCACUACGGUAUAUAUAGCCAGACACUUAGCGUCGUUUCUUUGGUACAGAUGUGGUUGGGGUGGCUGACGUUCUCUGGUUGCCUCGUUUCCUUAUCUUCUCCGGAUCAGUGGAAGAAGCAUGGCCGUCGGAUGCGUUGUGUGUGCUGGAAAUUUCAGUCCUUCAUGUCAUUGGCUGGCUGCCACACAACCUUUUUCCAGCUUUUCUUGUUUUUGGUUUCAUUUAAAGCCAAAAGUUUCUUGAGUACAAAUUUUCUGAGAUGCGACUUGAGUGGUGCGGGCAAAAUAUUUUACAUUUUAUCAUAAGAUCUGAUGGCUCACUCUCUCGAAAGUAUGCCCAUAGGCGUAGAGUGUGCGUGUGUGCAUUUAUAGGGGUUGUUGUACAUGUGUGUAUGUGAACGUCUACAUUUGUACACCGUUUCUCAAAAUAAAAUAUAUGUUUUGUUGGUACAAUUAAUUGAACUAGCAUAGUAACCGUCCACACGCAGAACAAGUUCUUUCCCCUCUCGCAAGGCAACUAUUGAAAGCUUUCCAGCCCUCUAUAUCCGCCAGUGAGCCCGUGGAUCCGCCUCCCCUCUGCCGGAAGGGGGAUUCCUGGUGCCUCAGCUCUGGCUAGUAGAUAAGUAGGGUUUUUAGUCCUCAUAGGUGAGGCUCUUGGACGGAUGGCAGCCCUUCUUCUUCGAGCCAAUCUUUCGGGAUCCGAUCCUCUUCAAGUUCCUCUGUCUAGGGAGCUCCGACGUAGAUUCUUGCCAGCUCCUCAGGCGGCGAGGUUAGGAUUUCUCGUCAUGCGUAUGCACAAUGAAAUUUGUGUCAGGUUCUUUAGAUCGAUUCAGGGAUUCAACGGCGGCGACUGCGGCUCCAGAGCACUAGUCCUUAGGGGCACGUGCAUGAAGACUUCCUGGCUGUCAUCGACAAGGUCAAGGUAGCUCUAGAGUGGGAGCAACGACAACGGUGCUUUAGUGGCUCGUCUCUAUGCGUAGGAACGAAAAGAAAGCCCUAUAUCUCGACUUUUUGACAACUCUCUGUGACAAUGGGAUUGAGCUACUCCAUACCUUGUUUUAAACACUACUGGGUAGGAACGAAAAGCUCUAUAUCUCAACUAUUAACACAUAUGGCUAAAUCUGUACCUUGAAUUAUAGGAUAUGCCAAUCGGUCAGUGGUGGGCGGUCUCUCACAUACAUUGUCUCUCAAGUAGGGCUGCAAAUGAGACGAGUUCGAGCGAGUUGGACUUGACUCAGCUCAACUCAUAUUAAAAUUCGAGCAAGCUCAAACUGAGUGAAGCUCAAGGUCAAGCUGUAGAACAUGACUCAUGCUCAACUUGUAACGAUCUCGAGUCGAUCUCGAGCUAGUUUCGAGUUAAAUGAGAUGAUAAAAUUUAUAAAUUUUAUGACCAUUAUUCCAACUAGAUAAGCACAACAUGACAUAAAAAAGCACAAAAAAUAUUAUUCCAAUCAGAACAAUGAUAAUACAAUUUUCUUUUGAAAUGAUACAAAUUUUGUUAGAAGUAGUUUAACUUAUUCUAUCACAACCGAAAGUCUAGUAUCAACGUAAGAUAACGAUUCACGACAUAUAUAUAAUUGCGAAAACGAAGGUGCAUAUGCUGGGAACUUUUGCUAGAAACAACAAAAUAUUUAACACAUGGUCGACCACAUACCAUAAUAAGGCCUAAAUUUUCUCUACAACUAAUUAAGCUUCGAUGUUUGUUUGUAAAUGAAAUGGAGAAAAAUCCUGGAUGGCACAUAUGGUAUUAAAUUAUCAUAUUUUCAUUUAUUAUAUGGCAUGAUCAUUUAACAUAAUGAUAUUAUGCCGAGCUAUCGAGCUAAAACCGAGCGAGCCAGUAUUGGCUCAAGAUCGGCCCGUUUCUCGACUGAGCUAUAGAAAGUGUUUGUACUCAACUCGUUUCUUUUCAAGUCGAGUCAAAAAUCGAGUCGAUCUCGAGCCGCUCACGAGCCUCAAGCUUUUCUUACAGCCCUACUCUCAAGCAGUGUCAUGUUGAGACAACUCAAUCAUCCUACUUUCCAUCCCAUAUGAGCGGCAGAUAACGGAAAGACAUUAAUAUCACAAGGCCUGGACCGGAGGCAAUAAGUUGUAUGGACAACCAUGAAGCCUAGAAUAAUUAUGUUCCUCUCAUGAUAUCGAUGCCCUGGCACCUGGAGGUCUCUCGAUUUGCGCCUCGAGUUGAACUUCUCCAACUACACCAAUUGAUCGGAUGGCUCCAAUCACUAAAUUACCGCAAGAGUAAAUAAUACCAUGAAGAGGAAAAACAGGAAUAGACGAUGCAUAUCAAAUAACCGCUUACUAGCUGACCGACCCAUAGCCAACGAUUACUCAAAUAACAUCACAUAUAAAAGGGUUUAAGAGUUGUUACAACCCAUUACGGAGACUGUGAUGGGGGACGAGAAGGGGUAUGGGUGAGGGCGGAGUGGCGACGGCGGCGCUUCUCCAGCAUUGCCUCCUUCAAGGUUGCAAUGAUGGAGAUGGAGGCUUGGCACAGCCCUCAAGUGUUUUUUUAUGUCGAUGGCAGCUGGACGUAUGGAUCGUGUCCCCGAGUGGCUAGGGUUGGAGGUGUAUUUAUAAGAACUCUCCCAAAGCCUCCUUCGUUGAUGUAGCAUCUCUACUUUGAUCCAAGUGCUCUACGUGAGCCAAAUAUUUCCCAAAACCUCCCUUGAUGGCAAAGAAAGUAGUAGGAACGAACCGGGACAAAAUCCUCAAAGAAUCCCCGUCUGAAAGGGCAACUUUCGGGCUUGUCUAGGCGUAAUACGAGCACUGGUACAUCCUUUUUUUUAUGUAUCAAAGGUCGUUGAACGCUUUGGACUCUUUGGUAAAACCGCCGUAACUUUUACAUCCGGACUCUAUUUUUGACGUUCAUGUGCUCGUUGGAAUCACGAUAACGGCGCCGAUGCACCUGUGGUAUUACAUAUUGAUUUUGAGCACUUUGGAAAACAACUUUUUUCACUCUCCGAAAUGCCCAAGUCUGGUGUCUCGAUGUCCUUCGUUUGGAUCCUUUUCAUUGUGUUAAGUGCGUGAGAGUUCCACAUUACGUACAAACACACAAAGAAAAAUAAUACUAAUAAGAAUAAAUAUUAUGCAAUGCUCGCGCUGAAAAUGUUAAAUACUGCCAUACUGGAGAUCAUGCAUAUGGACAUGCAAUUGUGGCUCAAUGGCACAUGCUAUACGGAGAUAAUAGGCGACAAAUGAGCUCUAAACGUGUGUAAAAAUAGGUGCCAUCACUUGGAUCAACGAGAUAUUAUCUUGUGGAACACCUUCCAUCCUUUUGAAGGGUGUGCCUAGUAGGUAAUUCCAAUGAAAACAUGGGAUCCACCAGGGUGACCCACCGUUACCACUUCUAUUUUUCUUGGCAGUGGAUUUACUUCAGUCUAUCCUCAGUGACAUGUAUCAUCGUGGGGAGCUCUUUUUUUCAACCCAUCUCAUGAUCUAGACUCUCCAAUUGUGCAGUAUGUUAAUGAUAUGUUGUUGAUUAUGCUGGAUAUUGAUUCUCAGCUUAUUGACCUAAAAGAAAUGUUACAACUUUUGUCUAAAUCCACUUGCUUGAAAGUGAUUUUUUGUAAAUCCUCCAUGGUUCUUAUAAAUGUGAUUGACGAUGAAGCUUCUCAUUGUCCAGUUUGUUUGAGUGUUAACAGGGUAAGAUGCCUUUCACUUACCUGGUUUACCUAUGGUUAACACUAGGCCCAAGAUCUAGGACUUAAUGCCUUUGGUUGAUAUAAUGAAAAUGAAAUUGGCAGCUAGCUCUUCUAUGCUCUCACAAGGUGCUAAAUUGAAACUUUUGAGGUCUGCCAUUUCAUCUAUGCCGAUAUACUAUCUUUGUAGUCUCUAGACUCCCCCUGGAAUUAAACAACUGGAGAGAAUUGAGUAGAAUAUCUCUGGCGUGGCAAUGCUGAUAGCUCAAAUCAACCAUUCGUGAUAUGUCAUCUGGUAUGUAAACCAAAGGAGAAUGGUGGUAUCGGUAUCAUUAACCGUCAUAUUCAAGACCAACCUUUGCUUACAAAACACUUGCGCAAAUUUCAUAAUAAAGCUCAUAUUCCAUGGGUAACUUUGAUAUAGAUUUCUUACUAUCAUGGAGUCAUACCCGACGCAACAGUCCUUUGUGGCUCUUUCUGAUGGAGGGAUAUUUUGGAACUUAACGAUCAGUACAUGGCAAUCUCUUCAAUCAAAGUUAAUAUUGGCAACUUUGCCUUGUUCUUGUCUGAUGCUUGGUUGAUUGAGGGAUUUUCUCUACCUCUUCGACAUCGUUUGGAUAGGCUCUUUUCAUUGCCUUGGAUGACAAAAUUUCUGUUAAAGAUUUUAAAGAAACCCCUGAUCGGGCCACUCUUUUGCACCAGCCAUUUUUUGCUGAGGCGAUGGAUGAAUCGCAACCUCUGGAUGGUUGGUUACACAGCCUUCAGCGAAACCAAACCCUGCCUGAUGUUUGUUCUUGGUAAGGAGGGUCAUUUUCCGCCAAAAUCUUCUACUGCAUGAUGCACAAGCAUAUGCCCACCGAUGAACCUUGCAAAUGGAUAUGACAGAGCACCAUGAAGAUCAAGAUCUUUGCUUAGAUCCUAUUAUUUUAUCAGUUGAACGCUCGGAACAUGCUCCUUAGAAGGCACUGACAUUCUCCUCGGGAUGAAACCCAUUGUGCUCACAUGAGCAAAGAGACCACUUGCUUUUCUCCUAUAAUUUUAGUCAAAGGAUUUGGACUUAUUUACAGAUUGAUUGGAGCCCCAGACGAAACACUAGACAAUGUAUUGAUGCUGCAUGUAGACGAUUUGGACACCCUUUCUUCUUUGAAGUGGUGUUCUCUUGGAACUAAUAUUUGUAUUAUUACAAAUGGCAAGAUCUUCACAGGGGAGAGGCCAUCCUUUCCUGCUUGGUGUUGUAAAUUUGUACAUGACAUCUCUUCUUGUAGAUAGAGUUAAUGCUUACCAAAGCUCCUGGAUUGGAUUAGUAAUCUCCAUUAGAUAAAUAGGUAGGUAGGAAAGUGUUGUUUUUCCUUUUUUCUUGGUUCCCUUUGUAAACAUUUUUUGCUUGCUUUUGUUUUGAUGGAAUAAAGGACUGGAGCUGUUGCUCCAUACUAGUUACAAAAAUCCGAGUUUUUUCUUGAUUUUUCACUAGUAUGAUUACACUCCUUCACAAAGGAGCUCAUGCAAUGCAUGUUGGAGAUUUAUUUCAAUAGUUCCAUAACAUGUUUUGAAUGCUGUUGCUAUCUAGUUCAGUUAGAUGCUUAUUGUCCAGACCAACAAAAGUUCUUUAGUAAGGGUCUCUACAAGAAUAUGUUUCAUCCUAGUCUACUAGCAAAAACCGAUGUAGAUGCUGGUAGUGACAUGGAAAAGAAACCAUAAUCUUUUUGUAUUGAUAAGUAAAGAAACUGAAAUUUGCAACUGCAAAUCAGGGGAUCUUAAUGUCAAAUACUGAAUGCUUCCACAACUAGUUGUGAGACAUAUUCAUUGCAGUGCCAAAUAAAGAAACUUUUCCUGAAUUAAUAACAGCAAGACAAUGGUCCGCGUGUUUGUAUAUAAUAAAUAUCACACAGGUUUUGUAUAUGUGUAGCCGGUUCUAGAAUUUACAUAUGCAUGCUCGAGAACCUAUGUUCGUACAUACACACACAGACCAUAUAGAAUGAAAAAUAUGCUCUGGUCGUCCAGCAGAGUGGUGGACAAAAGUUAAGUUCACAAAAGACCUUCAUACAUAGGCCAUUGUUUCAACUCGUAGUUUAGGCCUUGCCAGACUCCUCGCAACCCGGUGGCCUGAAGGCGAUGAAGCUGACGCACUGCACCUGGCGCAGGUUGUCGAAGCCGAUGACGCGGACAUAGGCGUCAGGGUACUCCUUCUUGACCUCCUCCACCUCGUUGAGCACCUGUGUGGCGUCGGUGCACCCGAACAUAGGCAGCUUCCACAUUGUCCAGUAUCGACCAUCGUAGUACCCGGGGGAGCUGUUGUGCUCACGGAAAACGAAGCCAACCUUGCUGAACUCGAGGCAGGGCACCCACUUGGAGCGGAUCAAGUAGUCGACCUGCUUCAGGAGGGCCUCCGUGGAGAGGGGUGGCAAGUAAGACAGGGUCUCGAACUUCUUGAUGCCCUCAAUCGGCCACACCUGAAUGAAUAGAAUGCGCAGAUGCUCAAUACUUGGUGCUAAGUAAAUUAAUUGUACCAACAAUUCUAGAAAAAUCUGUUGAUGAGCAAAAAAUUGCUCCUGAUGGACAGGUCUCAUAUGCAUUGUUCGUUUGUCCACAAUGAAGAAAGCUUAAGGGUAGCCCUUAAACUGAUGGGCACUCUGAAGGUACUAAGAUAAUUUUAUCUAGUCCAUGCUGCAAUAAAAAGUAUUUCCAUUCACUAAGUUAUGAGUUGAUUGCUUUUACAUACGGAUCCCAGCUUAGGGACAAGGUUGAAUGAGCAUCCAAAGCCAAAUGGUUUCCAUAGGCAACAAAACAAACAGAUAAUAAGGUUUCGGAAUAAUCUGUUGACCAAAUUAUGUUAUAAAUUGGGGAUGUUCUGCAAGUGAAUUACUUGUACUGCCAAAGAAACUCAUGUCAGUUUAAUUAGUGACUGACAUACCUGCAUGCACCUGAUCCUUCCGCCGUUGCUGACGCUGCCGAGGCCGGCGCUGCUGGAGCGGCGGCUGACGGGCAGGCCCGCGGUGGACUUGAGACCCUGGAAGGGUGCGACGGAGGUGGCCGAGGAAGCCAUCACAGUGGGGGCCAUGGUGUUGGAGGAGGGAAGGUGGCAGGCUAAGCUUGAGGCCCCCAUUGCUGGGUCACCACGGUAUAUAUAGCCAUAUAUGGCCAGCUCCUAUCUUUAAUCAAGAUGUGGAAGGGGUGGCUGGCGUUCGUUGGUUGCCUGGUUUCCUUAUCUCUCCGGAUUAGUGUAAGAGGCAUGGCCGUUGGAUGAGUUGUGUGUGCCGAAAAUUUCAGUCGUCCAUGCCAUUGUGUGAUUGCCACAAACCCUUUUUCCAGCCUUGCAUGUACUGUAUUAUUCUUUUCGUUUUAUUUUGCUAAAGGUAACGCUUGAAAGGUGCAGGAAGAACUUCCUUUGCUGAUUUGCGAUUUAAGUUGAGUGGCACAGGCAUAACGAAUGUUAUAGUACAUCCUUUAUCCACUUCUAUAAUACAAACUUGUCAAUCAAUUAUGCUUGCUUGUAACCUUUGGCGCUUCAUUUUAUAAAAUUUUAUACAGGUAACGUACACAUUUGCUGCAUGUGUGAUGUGUGUCAUCAUGACCUUUAUGUCUUUUAUUCACAAUUAUUCAUUGGAACACAAAAGUGUUGUACUGUUUUCUACGCCUAAUCAUUUACAUGCCCUGGAGGAUUUUUAGUAUUGGAAAUGCUAUUUAAUUGGGUGUCCAAGCAAGGUAGAACUUUGUUCUAAUCCACGAGCAAAAGUUUUAGAUCCCUCUGUUGUCCAUUUACUCAGUUCGUGUCGGCCCCAGUGAACUCAUAAAUUACAUAUGGUGAGUCCAUCAUGAUUUUGUAUCAUCGUUGAAUCUAGCCCACAAAAAAGGCAGAUGUAUAUUCAUUCAUUUCAUGGUGAUGAAGCAACCUGCAAAAUGAUGCGAUCGACCAUGACCACUCAGUGAUAUGGCAAUCAUGUAGACGGACAUUGUGAUCAUCUAGUCAUUUAAGAUAGAUGUCGUGAUCUUCUUGUGUGACCGUCUCAUAGAUUUGAGCUGCAAAUCGAAUCUUAUAUUCUUCCAAAAAAAAUUCUGAAUUUCCUGCAUGUAAGAUGAUAAAGCUGAGUUUGUAAUUAAUUAUUUUUUGUGAAUCCUUAAUGAUAAUUAACACGACCCAGAUAUUACAAAAUAUCCAUAAUUAUCAUGACUGAAUCAAUAAAUUACUAUUGCAGAAUGAACCUUCCAUAGGCCCCUCCACUUGGGCCCGCCGGUGGAGAGAUUCAUCACUCAUGGGCCACAAAACGCCAGCCAUGCAGGAGGACCUUCACUAACGGGCCCUUAAGUUGGCAUCAAUGGAGGGUCACCCAUGGGGCCCAUAGAUCCAACUGAAUGGACGGUCCAUCUCUACUGACGGUCGUACCACACCACUCGUCAAUGUUGGGUGGCCCGUCGGUGCUGAAUUAAGGUAUUUCUAUCUACUGGAGACGAAGUGGCCUUAUAUGCGCUUUCUCUUUUCUCCUAAACAAAACCAUGCCGCCGCCCCCAAUCCCUUCAUCCCCAACAUCAUCACCACCCUAUCCAAUGUUUUCGUCUCCUUUCAUGUGUGCCCCCUCCUUCUCCCACAUUGAUCUGGUCCAACGCUACCGUCUCAUCCCGCGAUUAUCGUCAUCUACUCUUCGGUUACUCGUGACGGCGCGGGUUGUGGCUUCCCGCUUGCUCUCUCGUAAGAAUGGUUGGGUAAACCCCAAGUGUAAGGAUGAAGUAACCUAGUAAUAAGUAUUGUCCUCAAUACGUUUCUCAAACCAGUAGGAAUUUCUUCUACAACCCAAAUCCUCGGUACCUGCACACCAAACACAAAACAAUCUUGCCCCAACGUUUCAAGAAGGUUGUCAAUCUUCUUGUCCUACUAGUUACAAGGAUUAGUUGUUAGUUGAAAGCAAAUAUCGGUUGCUAAGUAGCCUUAGUGCGGUUCGCACCUUUAGACCUGCCAUGGCACUGUCAACACUAUACUCGCCAUGCUUAGGGUUCACACUUUUUAUAUACACCAAGAUCAGCCUAGGUGCUUCGUGUCGUACUAGCACUAAUCCAGCCAUCAAUAUAAAGGAAAUGCUACCCAUAGUUCCAAAGCUUAGUUAUUCAAAUAUGAGUCAGAUAUGGUACUAAUAUUAGUUUAAAAAAGGCACAUGUAGUUGGUCAGCCAAUGUUCCUUCUUGAGUUUCAAAAUACACGUACGCCACUUAAAGAGAGACAUGAGUGAAUAGUAUUUCUUUGUGCCAUCUUCUCCAUCAUGGAUGGGCAACGAACAUUGCGUUGUAUAGAAAGAAGAGUUAUAUCCACCUUUUACAUAGAUUAUGAUUUGCCUAAUUUCGAAGCUUAUUUGUUCAAAUAUGAGUUUGAUAUGGUACUGAUAUUAAUUAAACAAACACACAUUUAAUUGUCAGCUAAUGUUCCUACUUCAGUUUUGAAAUGCAUGUCCGCCCCUUAUAGAGAGACAGAAGAGGUUUGUAUUUCUCCAGGCGCUCUGGUCAUCAUGGUUGAGGGAUGAACUUUGUAUAUCGUAUAGGUUGAAGCUAUCAUCUGCCAACAAUCAUCACUUUUGGAGAUCUCAACAGGGAGCCUUUUUUAAGUAGUAGGGUCAUAUUAUAUUAAUGCACGCACCAAAUUACAACACACAUAGCAUCCCUCGGCAGACUUCUAGAGAUAGUACGCAUGGGUCUAUAAGGACGCACUAUUGGGGUAGAAUCCGCAAUGCAUUUGUGACACCCCGAUUGAGAGAACCGGAGGUCCUCGUGUUCCAGCCCAGAGAUCCAUGUCUUCUGGAACAUGACUAUAACUUGGUACAUGUAGACCAAAAUAAAUAAGUACUUAUGUACAAUAGCGUCUUAAUAGUACAAUCCUCUUGCACAGCAGGUGGACACGUCUAAGUGUCAGAAGCUCAAGGGCUUUAUUCUAUGAGUGACUUAAGGAAGUACUAAAGACGGAAAUAAUACUAAUGACACAACGGAAGACGGGGUACCGGCGGGGCUCCAAUCCAAAGAGACACUGCUGGGACACCAUCUAGUCCAGGUACAUGAACUCUUCGGGAAACUCUUCUAUUGGCUCUCCAGUAUCUGGAAUGAUAAGGCAGGUGAGUACUUUGAAUGUACUCACAAGCCCACAAAUAAUCCAAAGCAAGCAAGAACAGAACAAAUAAACAUAGCAACGAAGUAAAGAUUAGUGAAGCUACUACUAUCAAGACUACUCCAUAAACUUCUCAUUUGCUUGUUUAACGUCCACUGGACCUCUUCCUGGUGAAGGAAAUAUGCCCUAGAGGCAAUAAUAAAGUUAUUAUUUAUUUCCUUAUAUCAUGAUAAAUAUUUAUUAUUCAUGCUAGAAUUGUAUUAACCGGAAACAUAAUACAUGUGUGAAUAUAUAGACAAACAGAGUGUCACUAGUAUGCCUCUACUUGACUAGCUCGUUAAUCAAAGAUGGUUAUGUUUCCUAGCCAUAGACAUAAGUUGUCAUUUGAUUAACGAGAUCACCUCAUUAGGAGAAUGACGUGAUUGACUUGACCCAUUCCGUUAGCUUAGCACCCGAUCGUUUAGUAUGUUGCUAUUGCUUUCUUCAUGACCUAUACAUGUUCCUCUGACUAUGAGAUUAUGCAACUCCCGUUUACCGGAGGAACACUUUGUGUGCUACCAAACGUCACAAUGUAAAUGGGUGAUUAUAAAGGUGCUCUACAGGUGUCUCCAAAGGUACUUGUUGGGUUGGCGUAUUUCGAGUUUAGGAUUUGUCACUCCGAUUGUCGGAGAGGUAUCUCUGGGCCCACUCGGUAAUGCACAUCACUAUAAGCCUUGCAAGCAUUGUGACUAAUAAGUUAGUUGCGGGAUGAUGUGUUACGGAACGAGUAAAGAGACUUGCCGGUAACGAGAUUGAACUAGGUAUCGAGAUACCGACGAUCGAAUCUCGGGCAAGUAACAUACUGAUGACAAAGGGAACAACGUAUGUUGUUAUACGGUCUGACCGAUAAAGAUCUUCGUAGAAUAUGUGGGAGCCAAUAUGGGCAUCCAGGUCCCGCUAUUGGUUAUUGACCGAAGACGUGUCUCGGUCAUGUCUACAUAGUUCUCGAACCCGUAGGGUCCGCACGCUUAAAGUUACGAUGACAGUUUUAUUAUGAGUUUAUGUAUGUUGAUGCACCGAAGGAGUUCGGAGUCCCGGAUGAGAUCGGGGACAUGACGAGGAGUCUCGAAAUGGUCGAGACGUAAAGAUCGAUAUAUUGGACGACUAUAUUCGGACUUCGGAAAGGUUCUGAGUGAUUCGGGUAUUUUUCGGAGUACCGGAGAGUUACGGGAAUACGUAUUGGGCCUUAUUGGGCCAUACGGGAAAGAAGAAAAAGGGCCUCAAGGGUGGCCGCACCCCUCCCCUUGGUCUGGUCCGAAUUGGACUAGGGAAGCGGGGCGCCCCCUUCCUUCCUUCUCUUUUUCCCUUCCUCUUUUCCUAUUCCAUAUGGGAGGUGGAAUCCUACUAGGACUAGGGAGUCCUAGUAGGACUCCACACUUGGUGCGCCCCCUCCUAGGGCCGGCCUCCUCCUCCCUUGCUCCUUUAUAUACGGGGGCAGGGGGGCACCCCAGAGACACAACAAUUGAUCCUUGAGAUCUUUUAGCCGUGUGCGGUGCCCCCCUCCACCAAAUUACACCUCGAUAAUAUCAUUGCGGAGCUUAGGCAAAGCCCUGCGUCGGUAGAACAUCAUCAUCGUCACCACGCCGUCGUGCUGACGAAACUCUCCCUCAACACUCGGCUGGAUCGGAGUUCGAGGGACGUCAUCGAGCUGAACGUGUGCAGAACUCGGAGGUGCCGUGCGUUUGGUACUUGAUCGGUCGGAUCGUGAAGACGUACGACUACAUCAACCACGUUGUGAUAACGCUUCCGCUGUCGGUCUACGAGGGUACGUGGACAACACUCUCCCCUCUCGUUGCUAUGCAUCGCCAUGAUCUUGCGUGGGCGUAGGAAUUUUUUUGAAAUUACUACGUUCCCCAACAGUGGCAUCCGAGCCUGGUUUUAUGCGUUGAUGCUAUGCACGAGUAGAACACAAGUGAGUUGUGGGCGAUAUAAGUCAUACUGCUUACCAGCAUGUCAUACUUUGGUUCAGCGGUAUUGUGAGAUGAAGCGGCCCGGACCGACAUUACGCGUACGCUUACGCGAGACUAGUUUCACCGUUCGGAGCACUCGUUGCUUAAAGGUGACUGGCGGGUGUCUGUCUCUCUCACUUUAGUUGAACCGAGUGUGGCUACGCCCGGUCCUUGCGAAGGUUAAAACAGCACCAACUUGACAAACUAUCGUUGUGGUUUUGAUGCGUAGGUAAGAACGGUUCUUGCUAAGCCCGUAGCAGCCACGUAAAACUUGCAACAACAAAGUAGAGGACGUCUAACUUGUUUUUGCAGGGCAUGUUGUGAUGUGAUAUGGUCAAGACAUGAUGUGAUAUAAUGUGUUGUAUGAGAUGAUCAUGUUUUGUAACCGAGUUAUCGGCAACUGGCAGGAGCCAUAUGGUUGUCGCUUUAUUGUAUGAGAUGCAAUCGCCAUGUAAUAGUUUUACUUUAUCACUAAACGGUAGCGAUAGUCGUAAAAGCAAUAAGUUGGCGAGACGACAACGAUGCUACGAUGGAGAUCAAGGUGUCGCGCCGGUGACGAUGGUGAUCAUGACGGUGCUUCGGAGAUGGAUAUCACAAGCACGGUGCUUCGGAGAUGGAGAUCACAAGCACAAGAUGAUGAUGGCCAUAUCAUAUCACUUAUAUUGAUUGCAUGUGAUGUUAAUCCUUUAUGCAUCUUAUCUUGCUUUGAUUGACGGUAGCAUUAUAAGAUGAUCUCUCACUAAAAUUUCAAGAUAAAAGUGUUCUCCCUGAGUAUGCACCGUUGCAAAAGUUCUUCGUGCUGAGACACCACGUGUUAAUCGGGUGUGAUAGGCUCUACGUUCAAAUACAACGGGUGCAAAACAGUUGCACACGCGGAAUACUCAGGUUAAACUUGACGAGCCUAGCAUAUACAGAUAUGGCCUCGGAACACAGAGACCGAAAGGUCGAGCGUGAAUCAUAUAGUAGAUAUGAUCAACGUAGUGAUGUUCACCAUUGAAACUACUCCAUCUCACGUGUUAAUCGGAUAUGGUUUAGUUGCUUUGGAUCACGUAAUCACUUAGAUGAUUAGAGAGAUGUCUAUCUAAGUGGGAGUUCUUAAGUAAUAUGAUUAAUUGAACUUAAAUUUAUCAUGAACUUAGUCCUGAUAGUAUUUUGCAAAUUAUGUUGUAGAUCAAUAGCUCGCGUUGUUGCUUCCCUGUGUUUAUUUUUUGUUCCUAGAGAAAAAUUAUGUUGAAAGAUGUUAGUAGCAAAGAUGCGGAUUGGAUCCGUGAUCUGAGGAUUAUCCUCAUUGCUGCACAGAAAAAUUAUGUCCUUGAUGCACCGCUAGGUGACAGACCUAUUGCAGGAGCAGAUGCAGACGUUAUGAACGUUUGGCUAGCUCAAUAUGAUGACUACUUGAUAGUUUAGUGCACCAUGCUUAACGACUUAGAAUCGGGACUUCAAAGACGUUUUGAACGUCAUGGACCAUAUGAGAUGUUCCAGGAGUUGAAGUUAAUAUUUCAAGCAAAUACCCGAGUUGAGAGAUAUGAAAUCUCCAACAAGUUCUAUAGCAAAAAGAUGGAGGAGAAUCGCUCAACUAGUGAGCAUGUGCUCAGAUUGUCUGGGUACUACAAUCGCUUGAAUCAAGUGGGAGUUUAUCUUCCAGAUAAAAUAGUGAUUGACAGAAUUCUCUAGUCACCAUCACCAAGUUAGUAGAACUUCGUGAUGAACUAUGGUAUGCAAGGGAUGACGAAAGUAAUUCCCGAGCUCUUCGUGAUGCUGAAAUCGAUGAAGGUAGAAAUCAAGAAAAACAUCAAGUGUUGAUGGUUGACGAGACCACUUCAAGUGUUGAUGGUUGACGAGACCGCUAGUUUCAAGAAAAGGGCAAAGGGAAAAAGGGGAACUUCAAAAAGAACGGCAAGCAAGUUGCUGCUCAAGUGAAGAAGCCUAAGUCUGGUCCUAAGCCUGAGACUAAGUACUUCUACUGCAAAGGGACUGGUCACUGGAAGCGGAACUACCCCAACUAUUUGGUGGAUAAGAAGGAUGGCAAAGUGAACAAAGGUAUAUUUGAUAUACAGAUUAUUGAUGUGUACUUUACUAGUGUUUAUAGCAAUCCCUCGGUAAUUGAUACUGGUUCAAUUGCUAAGAGUAGUAACUCGAAACGGGAGUUGCAGAAUAAACAGAGACUAGUAAAAGUGAACAAAGGUAUAUUUGAUAUACAGAUUAUUGAUGUGUACUUUACUAGUGUUUAUAGCAACCCCUCGGUAAUUGAUACUGGUUCAGUUGCUAAAGAGUAGUAACUCGAAAACGGGAGUUGCAGAAUAAACAGAGACUAGUAAAAGGCGAGGUGACGAUGUGUGUUGGAAGUAGUUCCAAGAUUGAUAUGAUCAUCAUCGCACACUCCCUGUACUUUUGGGAUUAGUGUUGACACUAAAUAAGUGUUAUUUGGUGUUUGCGUUGAGCAUGAAUAUGAUCUGAUCAUGUUUAUUGCAAUACGGUUAUUCAUUUAAGUUAGAGAACAAUUGUUGUUCUGUUUACAUGAAUAAAACCUUUAUGGUCAUACACACCAACGAAAAUGGUUUGUUGGAUCUCGAUCGUAGUGAUACACAUAUUCAUAAUAUUGAAGCCAAAAGAUGCAAAGUUAAUAAUGAUAGUGCAACUUAUUUGUGGUACUGCCGUUUAGGUCAUAUUGGUGUAAAGCGCGUGAAGAAACUCCAUACUGAUGGGAUUUUGGAAUCACUUGAUUAUGAAUCACUUGAUGCUUGCGAACCGUGCCUCAUGGGCAAGAUGACUAAAACGCCGUUCUCCAGAACUAUGGAGAGAGCAACAGAUUUGUUGGAAAUCAUACAUACAGAUGUAUGUGGCCCGAUGAAUAUUGAGGCUCGUAGCAGGUAUCAUUAUUUUCUGACCUUCACAGAUGAUUUGAGCAGAUAUGGGUAUAUCUACUUAAUGAAACAGAAGUCUGAAACAUUUGAAAAGUUCAUAUAAUUUCAGAGUGAAGCGAAAAUCAUCGUAACAAGAAAAUAAAGUUUCUACGAUUUGAUCGUGGAGAAGAGUAUUUUAGUUACGAGUUUGGCCUUCAGUUAAAACAAUGUGAAAUAGUUUCACUACUCACGCCACCUGGAACACCACGGUGUAAUGGUGUGUCCGAAACAUCGUAACCGUACUUUAUUAGAUAUGGUGCGAUAUAUGAUGUCUCUUACCGAUCUACCACUAUCGUUUUAGGGUUAUGCAUUAGAGACAGCUACAUUCACGUUAAAUAGGGUAUCAUCUAAAUCCGUUGAGAUGACGUCUUAUGAACUGUGGUUUGGCAAGAAACCAAAGUUGUCGUGUCUUAAAGUUUGGGGUUGCGAUGCUUAUGUGAAAAAGUUUCAUCCUGAUAAGCUCAAACCCAAAUCGGAGAAAUGUGUCUUCAUAGGAUACCCAAAGGAGACAGUUGGGUACACCUUCUAUCACAGAUCCGAAGACAAGACAUUCGUUGCUUAGUAUGGAUCCUUUCUAGAGAAGGAGUUUCUCUCGAAAGAAGUGAGUGGGAGGAAAGUAGAACUUGAUGAGGUAACUGUACCUGCUCCCUUAUUGGAAAGUAGUUCAUCACAGAAAUCUGUUCCUGUGACUUCUACACCAAUUAGUGAGGAAGUUAAUGAUGAUGAUCAUGUAACUUCAGAUCAAGUUACUACCAAACCUCGUAGGUAAACCAGAGUAAGAUCCGCACCAGAGUGGUACGGUAAUCCUGUUCUGGAGGUUAUGUUACUAGACCAUGACGAACCUACGAACUAUGAAGAAGCGAUGGUGAGCCCAGAUUCCGCAAAAUGGCUUGAGGCCAUGAAAUCUGAGAUGAGAUCCAUGUAUGAGAACAAAGUGUGGACUUUGGUUGACUUGCCCGAUGAUCGGCAAGCAAUUGAGAAUAAAUGGAUCUUCAAGAGGAAGACGGAUGCUGAUAGUAGUGUUACUAUCUACAAAGCUAGAAUUGUCGCAAAAAAGGUUUUCGACAAGUUCAAAGUGUUGACUACGAUGAAAGUUUCUCACUCGUAUCUAUGCUUAAGUCUGUCCGAAUCAUGUUAGCAAUUGCCGCAUUUUAUAAAAUAUGGCAAAUGGAUAAACAAAACUGCAUUCCUUAAAGGAUUUAUUAAAGAAGAGUUGUAUAUGAUGCAACCAGAAUGUUUUGUCAAUCCUAAAGGUGCUAACAAAAUAUGCAAGCUCCAGCGAUCCAUCAAUGGACUGGUGCAAGCAUCUCGGAGUUGGAAUAUACGCUUUGAUAAGUUGAUCAAAGCAUAUAGUUGUAUACAGACUUGCGGUGAAGCCUGUAUUUACAAGAAAGUGAGUGGGAGCACUACAGCAUUUCUGAUAAGUAUAUGUGAAUGACAUAUUGUUGAUCGGAAAUAAUGUAGAAUUAUUCUGCAAAGCAUAAAGGAGUGUUUGAAAGGAGUUUUUCAAAGAUAGACCUCGGUGAAGCUGCUUACAUAUUGAGCAUCAAGAUCUAUAGAGAUAGAUGAAGACGCUUGAUAAGUUUUUCAAUGAGUACAUACCUUAACAAGAUUUUGAAGUAGUUCAAAAUAGAACAGUCAAAGAAAAGAGUUCUUGCCUGUGUUACAAGGUGUGAAAUUGAGUAAAGACUCAAAGCCCGACCACGGCAAAAGAUAGGAAGAGAAUGAAAGUCAUUCCCUAUGCCUUGGCCAUAGGUUCUAUAAAGUAUGUCAUGCUUUGUACCAGAUCUAUUGUAUACCCUACACUGAUUUUGGCAAGGGAGUACAAUAGUGAUCUAGGAGUAGAUCACUGGACAGCGGUCAAAAUUAUCCUUACUGGAAUAAGGAUAUGUUUCUCGAUUAUGGAAGUGACAAAAGGCUCGUCGUAAAAGGUUACGUCGAUGCAAGUUUUGACACUAAUCUAGAUGACUCUAAGUCUCGGUCUAGAUACAUAUUGAAAGUGGGAGCAAUUAGCUAGAGUAGCUCCAUGCAGAGCAUUGUAGACAUAGAAAUUUGCAAAAUACUUACGGAUCUGAAUGUGACAGACCCGUUGACUAAAAUUAUCUCACAAGCAAAACAUGAUCACACCUUAGUACUCUUUGGGUGUUAAUCACAUAGCGAUGUGAACUAGAUUACUGACUCUAGUAAACCCUUUGGGUGAUGGUCACAUGACGAUGUGAACCAUGGGUGUUAAUCACAUGGUGAUGUGAACUAUUCAUGUUAAAUCACAUGGCGAUGUGAACUAGAUUAUUGACUCUAGUGCAAGUGGGAGACUGAAGGAAAUAUGCCCUAGAGGCAAUAAUAAAGUUAUUAUUUAUUUCCUUAUAUCAUGAUAAAUGUUUAUUAUUCAUGCUAGAAUUGUAUUAACCGGAAACAUAAUACAUGUGUGAAUAUAUAGACAAACAGAGUGUCACUAGUAUGCCUCUACUUGACUAGCUCGUUAAUCAAAGAUGGUUAUGUUUCCUAGCCAUAGACAUAAGUUGUCAUUUGAUUAACGAGAUCACCUCAUUAGGAGAAUGACGUGAUUGACUUGACCCAUUCCGUUAGCUUAGCACCCAAUCGUUUAGUAUGUUGCUAUUGCUUUCUUCAUGACCUAUACAUGUUCCUCUGACUAUGAGAUUAUGCAACUCUCGUUUACCGGAGGAACACUUUGUGUGCUACCAAACGUCACAACGUAAAUGGGUGAUUAUAAAGGUGCUCUAUAGGUGUCUCCAAAGGUACUUGUUGGGUUGGCGUAUUUCGAGAUUAGGAUUUGUCACUCCGAUUGUCGGAGAGGUAUCUCUGGGCCCACUCGGUAAUGCACAUCACUAUAAGCCUUGCAAGCAUUGUGACUAAUGAGUUAGUUGCGGGAUGAUGUGUUACGGAACGAGUAAAGAGACUUGCCGGUAACGAGAUUGAACUAGGUAUCGAGAUACCGACGAUCGAAUCUCGGGCAAGUAACAUACUGAUGACAAAGGGAACAACGUAUGUUGUUAUGCGGUCUGACCGAUAAAGAUCUUCGUAGAAUAUGUGGGAGCCAAUAUGGGCAUCCAGGUCCCGCUAUUGGUUAUUGACCGGAGACGUGUCUCGGUCAUGUCUACAUAGUUCUCGAACCCGUAGGGUCCGCACGCUUAAAGUUACGAUGACAGUUUUAUUAUGAGUUUAUGUAUGUUGAUGUACCGAAGGAGUUCGGAGUCCCGGAUGAGAUCGGGGACAUGAUGAGGAGUCUCGAAAUGGUCGGGACGUAAAGAUCGAUAUAUUGGACGACUAUAUUCGGACUUCGGAAAGGUUCUGAGUGAUUCGGGUAUUUUUCGGAGUACCGGAGAGUUACGGGAAUACGUAUUGGGCCUUUUUGGGCCAUACGGGAAAGAAGAAAAAGGGCCUAAGGGUGGCCGCACCCCUCCCCUUGGUCUGGUCCGAAUUGGACUAGGGAAGGGGGGCGCCCCCUUCCUUCCUUCUCUUUUUCCCUUCCUCUUUUCCUAUUCCAUAUGGGAGGUGGAAUCCUACUAGGACUAGGGAGUCCUAGUAGGACUCCACACUUGGUGCGCCCCUCCUAGGGCCGGCCUCCUCCUCCCUUGCUCCUUUAUAUACGGGGGCAGGGGGGCACCCCAGAGACACAACAAUUGAUCCUUGAGAUCUUUUAGCCGUGUGCGGUGCCCCCCUCCACCAAAUUACACCUCGAUAAUAUCAUUGCGGAGCUUAGGCAAAGCCCUGCGUCGGUAGAACAUCAUCAUCGUCACCACGCCGUCGUGCUGACGAAACUCUCCCUCAACACUCGGCUGGAUCGGAGUUCGAGGGACGUCAUCGAGCUGAACGUGUGCAGAACUCGGAGGUGCCAUGCGUUCGGUACUUGAUCGGUCGGAUCGUGAAGACGUACGACUACAUCAACCGCGUUGUGAUAACGCUUCCGCUGUCGGUCUACGAGGGUACGUGGACAACACUCUCCCCUCUCGUUGCUAUGCAUCACCAUGAUCUUGCGUGUGCGUAGGAAUUUUUUUGAAAUUACUACGUUCCCCAACACCUGGCACGAGUCCUGCUCAAACGACUCAUCGACAUAACUUACCAGUUACCACAGCUAUUAGAGUUUAAAGUAAAGGAAUUUUGGUGCUUGGUCAAAUAAUGUGACCUAACACAAACGGUGUCCCAUUGCCAGGGACUCGGCUAUUCGAAUAGUUUGAACACACACUCUGUAGAGGUCACACAGUUUACCCACACCAUAGACUCUUUGUCUAACUAUUCUCAUUCAUAGCAUGGCACUCUAACUAUGCCUCCGACCUCCCGCGGGCUUGCCCUGGCAGAGAGAAUCUGGGUCCUUUCCACCCCGUGUUGCACCACUUGUAUUCCCUUGGGAAUCUUUUCUCUUAAGCUCAUCCACAGACCCUGGCUCUCUUGACUGAAUGGCAACUUCCAAGCCAGAGGAAGUCUACACAUUCCAUCUUCCCUCUUCGGAAACACACGAAAGAAACAUAACUACAAACGUAAUAAAGCCCUCCCAUUCGGACAGAUGUGCUUGUAAUGAGGAUGUUCGGCUUCGUGGCAGUUGGAUUGACCAGCUAUUUAAAGUUGGGUUAACAAGGAAAGUAAAACCGUGACUUUGUAAGCUACUGAAAUCCACAACUUGUUAUCCUACUAGGGUGAAGUAUUCACGAGGAUUCAUCAUCCUAAGUAAAGUCUUUCCCCGAGAUUCUUCGUGAACGUUGCUACCUAUUUUGCUUAUGAUUCAUGUUGGCAAAAUAAUUACCGGUUAUGAGUCAUAGUUAAACUUCUAUUCUACUAGGACCAAAUCAAGGCAUCCUUUAUAGUGACUCACUAUGCUAUUUCAACCACAACAAACUUAACAUAAGCAAAGGGAAGCAACAAACAACAUUGAAAGAAAAGUAAUGUUGGAAAAGAAAUGUAAGUUGAACCCAUGGCCUUGCAAUGCCAUCAAGCAAAUGGAGGUGGUGGCUUGCCAUGCUCAAAUGGAGUAGCAAAGCAUUCUUUGUCUUCACCUCCUGGAUUAUUUCCUUCUGGAAAUAAUUUAAAAAGCAAAAUACAAUAAAGCAAAUAAGUCAAAAGUGUGUCUAGCAGCAUCUAGACAAGUCAAAUAAAUCUCAAAUUAUUCCCACAGAAGGAGAAUAAUAUAAGAAAAGUAAUGCAAAAAGAAUAAACUCAUUUGGAGUUAUGGUUUAAGAGAUAUUACUCAUCACAGCUUAGUCAACAGAAUAUAAGUAAAACAAAAAAUAGCCUGAAAUAGAAAAUCCACCAAGCGGCCACGUCGAAGGCGUAUUUCAGAAAUACGCCCCCACUUACGUACCAGUUCGGCAGGGGUUGUAUCACUGACGGGUGGGGCCAUCCUGUCAGUUUUCUUUUUUAAACACCCGGCCGAGGUGUGGUGUUCUAGCGAGGUCUCACCGGCGACUACAGAGCGCUAGGGCUCGAACGAGUGGGAUCACCUUUUGAGAGGUAUACGCAUUUAUUGUGAUUUGUUAGAAUACUCUAUGUGCUUCACUUAUAUCUUUUGAGCUAGGCAGUUGCUCUGGUGCUUCAUUAUAUCUUUUAGAGCACCGUGGUGGUUAUAUUUUAUAGAAAUGAUUGCACUCUCAUGCUUCACUUAAAUCUUUUUGAGAGUCCAUAUAUAGGAAGUGGUAAUGUGCACGUGUUAUAAGACUAGUCCGAGAAGGAUAGGUAUUCAAGGGGGAUACAAUAAAAACUUUCAUGUAGAUCACUAAAUAUGAAAUGUAUAAUUUAAUGAUAUUGAUGUUGUAAUAUGAAAGGAUAUUAGUUCAUGAUCAUUGGUUAGUAGAAAUAUCAGUAUUAAAACUUGUUAUUAACUUCUCAAAUAAGUGUUGGUCAUGGCAUGGUGGCCAGGUUUGAGCAUUUGUAUUUCUGAUUGAAAUCCUUGAGUGCUAUUAUAAUCGGAUGCGCGCGAUGGUUAACUCCUACCAACAAAUUCCCUAGGGGCAUAUGUGAGUAGUACUUUGCUUAGAAGGAUAAUAGGAGUUCACAAUAAGUAUGUCAGUUCUUUAUGACUAAUGUGAGUCCAUGGAUUAUAUGCACUCCUACCUUUCCGCAAUUUGCUAGGCUCUGCUGUACCGUGCAUUGCCCUUUCUCACCUCGAGAGUUGGUGCACACUUCGCUGGUGCAUCCAAACCCCAUGGUAUGAUACGCUCUAUCAUACAUAAGCCUCCUUAUAUCUUCUUCGAAACAGCCGCCAUACCUACCUAUUAUGGCAUUUUCACAACCAUUCCGAGAUAUAUUGCCAUGCAACUUCCACUGUUCCAUUUUCAUAACAUGUGUGUUCAACGUCAUAUUGCUUUGCAUGAUCAUAUAAAGUUGGCAUGAUAUUUGUGGCAUUGUCACCGUUCAUCAUGAUUAUACAUGUUACGCUAGAUCAUUGCACAUCCUGGUACACUAUCAGAGGCAUUAAUAUAGAGUCAUAUUGUUCAAGUUAUCGAGUUGUAUGUAAAUACAAGUGUGAUGAUAAUCAUUAUUAGAGCAUUGUCCCAGUUGAGGAAACGAUGAUGGAGACUAUGAUUCCCGCACAAGUCGGGAUGAGACUCCGGACGAAAAAAAAGAGAGAAAAGAGAGAAGGGGCAAUGUUACUAUCCUUUUUUUUUGCAAGGUAAUGCUACUAUCCUUUUGAACACUUGUGCUUUAGAGUAGCACCAUGUUCUUCACAUAGAGAGUCUCCUGAGUUAUCACUUUCAUAUACUAGUCGUAUUUUUUCAUUAUAGAAUUUGACUUGCAUAUUCUGAUGAUGGGUUUCCUCAAAUGGCCGAGGCCUUCAUGAUCAAGCAAGUUGGAUGCACAUCCACUUAGUUUUCAUUGAGCUUUCAUACACUUAUAGCUCUUAGUUCAUCUAUUGCAUGGCAAUCCCUACUCCUCGCAUUGACAUCGAUUGAUGGGCAUGUCCAUAGCCCGUUGAUUAGCCGCGUCGAUGCGAGACUUUCUUCCUUUUCAACUUUCCUUAUUAAUCUUUAUCACCGCAUUCUAUUCAACUUAUAGUGUUAUAUCCAUGGCUCACGUUCAUGUAUUGCAUAGGAUUGAAAAUGCUGAAGCGCAUUAGAAGUACGAUCCAUUUGCCUUGUUUGACACCGGGGUGCUCAUGAUUUAUAUUUAUGCAGUGAAGGUGGGGUCAUGCCAUGCUAACAUAAUAAAAUGAGUGGGGAAAGCAUUCAUUGAGGAUUGUAUAUUUUAAAAGGUUAAUGAUUAUGUUUCUUAUAUUCAUGGAUAUUAUUAUGUUGACAUUGUUACUUCAUCGUUUCUCAAUAAUUAUACCGUAAAAAUAUUACAUGAUACACAUGUUAGGUAGCAUUUCACAUCAAAAAUUCUUUUUUUAUCAUUUACCUACUCGAGGACGAGAAGGAAUUAAGCUUGAGGAUGCUAAUACGUCUUCAACGUAUCUAUAAUUUUUGAUUGUUAUAUUAUCAAUCUUGGAUGCUUUAUAUGCUUUGUAUGCUAUUUUAUAUCUUUUUGGGACUAACGUAUUAUUUUGAAUAUUUUUUGAAUUGUUUGGAUUGCUUACCACAUGUGUCAUGUGGUUUGGGACUAACCUAUUAACCCAAUGCCAGUGCCAGUUACUGUUUUUUUGCUUGUUUUUGGCUUUUUAGAAAACCAAUACCAAACGAAGUCCAAACACAAUGAAACUUUACGGUGAUUUUUUCUGGACAAGAAGGGACCCUAAAAGGUUCGGGUGGAGGCUAGAAGAUCUACGGGAGAGCCACAAGCUCACAGGGUGCGCCCCCUGAGCUCAUGGGCCGCACGCAGCUCCAUUUGACCUAAUUUCACCUCCAUAAAUUCACAUAUAUUCCCAAACCAAUAGAGAGCCACCCGAAAUACUUUUUCCGCCGCCCAAGCUUCUAUUUUUCCGUGAGCCCAUAUGGAGGCCUUUUCCGGUACUCUGUCGAAGGGGGAAUCGAUCACAGAGCGCUUCUACAUCAUGCUUGCUGUCUUACAAUGAUGCAUGAGUAGUUCACGACAGACCUACGUGUCCAUAACUAGUAGCUAGAUGGCUUCUUAUCUCUCUUUGAUCUUCAAUACAAUGUUGUCCUCGAUCUUCUUGGAGUUCUUGUAAGUGCAUCUAGUGCCACCCCUAGUUGGUUUUGGAGUAUUGCCGACAAACUUGGUUGAGGGACUAAUGUGUUUGUGAGAAUUGCAGGAUAACACAGGUAGUAGUCCCUCAUUGAUUCGGUUUACCUACCAGAGAUGACCCCUAAAAAUGUGUGAAGACAUUGAAGACAAUGGUGGUCUGUGAAGAUAUUCACAUUGAAGACUAUGACAUGAGAAGACAUCGCAUGAAGACUAUGGAGUGCGAAGACAUAGUUGUUUCGUAGUUUCCUUUUCUUCUUUGUUGAGUCAUAGGAACCGCCGUACUGUUAAGUGGGGUCCAAGUGAACAAAGUCCGAGUGACUGAUGUGAUGCUCAACCAAAUCCUAUGUCUUCGAGCGAAGACAAUGAGUGCAAAUCUUAUCCAGAGUUGGAUGAGUCAGCUUUACUUAUAGCACAAGUCAAGCUGCCGCGUGUGUUUGAAAUCUGACUGUUGGACACGUGUCAGUUCCUUAGUGGCCCAGGGUCAUUUUGGACAAAUUAGGUCGGGUUGCCUCCUGGCUAUAAAUAGCCCACCCCCUACACCAUAAAUUGGUGGCUGCUCAUAGUUAGUGCACGGCUUUUGUCGUUUGAGAGCAACCCACCUCCGAAGCAUUUGAGAGAGAGAUCCUUGCGAGGACAAAGCCCAAAACACCCAGAGCCAAAGAGUGUUAGGCAUCACUGAAGUCUUUCUGUCCGCGUGAUCUGAAGACUUGUUACACUUGAGGACUGUGAAUCCUCCAGCCGGUUAGGCGUCGCGUUCUGAGCAUCCAAGAGUCAUUGUGGAUUGCCGGUGAACGAAAUCUAUGAAGGUUUGGAAGUCUACCUUGAAGACUUACCAGAGUGAUUGGGAGAGGACUAAGUGUCCUUAACUCAAGGGGAAUAAGGUGAAGACGCUUUCUUCUGAGUUAAAUCUCAGCCUCCCUAACCAGACGUACAGUUGUCACGGCAACUGGAACUGGUCCAACAAAUCCCUGUCCUCCCCAAGCAACUGGUUCUAUCUCUUAUCUCUCUUUACUUACAGUUUGUCUUCGUGAAGUCAUUACCUGCUUGCAUGAUCUGAUUGUCUUCACUGUGUGAAGACUGCUGUUGUUUGGCUUCAUACUAUCUUCCAUCCUGAUCCAUACUACCUAACUGCUGAUAGUCUUCGUGCUUUCACUUCAUUGCUUACUUGACUAUGGCUUGUCUAGUGUAGUCUACCUUCCGCUGCAUAUCAAUAGGUUCAUUUUUAUUGUUUGUCUUCAAAGCCCCUGUGUUUUGAAGACUUUCAUAAAAAUUGCCUAUUCACGCCCCCCCCCCUCUAGUCGAUAACUAGCACUUUCAGUUCUAUCCGAUGUAAUCUUCUUUUUGUUGGGGAACGUAGCAGAAAUUCAAAAUUUUCUACGCAUCACCAAGAUCAAUCUAUGGAGUACUCUAGCAAAGAAGGGAAGGAGAGUGGAUCUACAUACCCUUGUAGAUCGCGAUGCGGAAGCGUUGCAAGAACGCGGAUGAGGGAGUCGUACUCGUAGCGAUUCAGAUCGCGGUUGAUUCCGAUCUAAGCACCGAAGAACGGUGCCUCCGCGUUCAACACACGUGCAGCCCGGUGACGUCUCCCACGCCUUGAUCCAGCAAGGAGAGAGGGAGAGGUUGGGGAAGACUCCAUCCAGCAGCAGCACGACGGCGUGGUGGUGAUGGAGGAGCGUGGCAAUCCCGCAGGGCUUCGCCAAGCACCGCGGGAGAGGAGGAGGAGGGAGAGGGGUAGGGCUGCGCCAAAAGGAGACUUUCUCGUGUCGUUAUGGCAGCCCAAACCUCAACUAUAUAUAGGGGGGGAGGGGGCUGCGCCCCCCUCUAGGGUUCCCACCCCCAAGAGGAGGCGGCCAGCCCUAGAUCCCAUCAAGGGGGGGCGGCCAAGGGGAGGAGAGGGGGGGCGCCCCACUAGAUGGGCCCUAAGGCCCAUCUGGACCUAGGGUUUGCCCCCUCCCACUCUCCCAUGCGCCUUGGGCCUUGGUGGGGGGGCGCACCAGCCCACCUGGGGCUGGUCCCCUCCCACACUUGGCCCACGCAGCCUUCUGGGGCUGGUGGCCCCACUUGGUGGACCCCCGGGACCCUCCCGAUGGUCCCGGUACAUUACCGAUAACACCCGAAACUUUUCCGGUGACCAAAACAGGACUUCCCAUAUAUAAAUCUUUACCUCCGGACCAUUCCGGAACUCCUCGUGACGUCCGGGAUCUCAUCCGGGAUUUCGAACAACAUUCGGUAACCACGUACAUACUCUCCAUAUAACCCUAGCGUCAUCGAACCUUAAGCGUGUAGACCCUACGGGUUCGGGAACCAUGCAGACAUGACCGAGACGUUCUCCGGUCAAUAACCAACAGCGGGAUCUGGAUACCCAUGUUGGCUCCCACAUGUUCCACGAUGAUCUCAUCGGAUGAACCACGAUGUCGGGGAUUCAAUCAAUCCCGUAUUCAAUUCCCUUUGUCUAUCGAUAUGUUACUUGCCCGAGAUUCGAUCGUCGGUAUCCCUAUACCUUGUUCAAUCUCGUUACCGGCAAGUCUCUUUACUCGUUCCGUAACUCACAUCAUCCCGUGAUCAACUCCUUGGUCACAUUGUGCACAUUAUGAUGAUGUCCUACCGAGUGGGCCCAGAGAUACCUCUCCGUUUACACGGAGUGACAAAUCCCAGUCUCGAUUCGUGCCAACCCAACAGAUACUUUCGGAGAUACCUGUAGUGCACCUUUAUAGUCACCCAGUUACGUUGUGACGUUUGGUACACCCAAAGCAUUCCUACGGUAUCCGGGAGUUGCACAAUCUCAUGGUCUAAGGAAAUGAUACUUGACAUUAGAAAAGCUCUGAGCAAACGAACUACACGAUCUUGUGCUAGGCUUAGGAUUGGGUCUUGUCCAUCACAUCAUUCUCCUAAUGAUGUGAUCCCGUUAUCAACGACAUCCAAUGUCCAUGGUCAGGAAACCGUAACCAUCUAUUGAUCAACGAGCUAGUCAACUAGAGGCUUACUAGGGACAUGGUGUUGUCUAUGUAUCCACACAUGUAUCUGAGUUUCCUAUCAAUACAAUUCUAGCAUGGAUAAUAAACGAUUAUCAUGAACAAGGAAAUAUAAUAAUAACCUAUUUAUUAUUGCCUCUAGGGCAUAUUUCCAACACUUUUGUGGUGUGUUUGUUGGGAUCCGAUGAAUUGUGGGUUUAUGAUCAGAUUAUUCAUUGAAAGUAGUUGAGUCUUGUCUGAAUUUUAUUAUGCAUGAUUGUUAUAGCUUUGUAUUUCCCUCCGAUCUAUCUGUUUGGUUUGCCAACUAGAUUGAUUUAUCUUCAGUGGCAUACGUGCUUUGUAAUGGGUUCAAUCUUGCGGUGUCCUCACACAAUGAUAGAAGGGGAAGCGAGACACGUAUAAUAUUGUUGCCAUUAAGUAUAAAAUUAUGGGUGUAAUCAUAUUGCUUGAGUUUACUUUGUCUACAUCAUGUCAUCUUGCUUUAGGCGUUACUCUGUUCGUCAUGAACUUAAUACCACAGAUGCAUGCUAGAUAACGGUCGAUUAGUGGAAUAAUAGUAGUAGCUGUAGACAUGAGACGGUCUACUUGUCACGGACAUGAUGACUAUAUACAUGAUCAUUGCCAUGAAUACAUCAUAACUAUGUGUUUUUCUAUCAAUUACCCAACAGUAAUUUGUUUACCCACCAUAUGCUAUGUGUUCGAGAGAGAAGCCUCUAGUGAAAACUAUGGGCCCCGGGUCUACUUUUAUCAUAUUAUUAAAACCAAAAAUACCUUGCUGCAAUUUUACACUUUUUAUUUUACUUUUAUUUUUAUCUAUGUAUCACUAUCAGAAUUAAUCCUUGCAAAUAACGAGUUCAAGGGGAAUGACAACCCUCUUGCCCGCGUUGGGUGCAAGUAUUUGCUUUUCUCUGUGUAGGUGCUGCAGAAGGGAAUUAGUGUGGUUCUUCUAUUGGUUCAAUAACUUUGGUUCUCACUGAGGGAAAUACUUAUCUCUGUUGUACUGCUUCACCCAUCCUCUUCGGGGGAAAUCCCAACACAGUUUACAAGUAGCACUACCCCUCCCUCCUCCUCCAUAGAUGCUUGGUGAAGCCCUGCCUGAGCUCCACCGUAAAAUCCACCACCACGCCAUCGUGUUGGCCUUGAUCCCAUCCACCUAUCCAUGUCGCUUGCUGGAUCAAGAAGGAGACGUCACCGAGCGAUACGUGUGCAUAUCUCAGAGGUGCCGUCCGUGUGGUACUCGAUCGGAUUGGAUCACGAAGAGAGUACGACUACGCCAACCACAUUCAUUAGAAUGUUUUCGUUUUAGGUCUACAAGGGUUUGUAAACUUUUCCCCCUCGUUGCUAGCAUCUAGUUGAUUAGAUCUUGGAUGUUUUCAUUGUCUCGUAGGAAAAAAAUUGUUUUCCAUGGAACGAUUCCCAUCACUGACCUGCUUUAAAGAAGUGGGUAGGAGCUCAGGCGACCCGGGCUCAGCAGGUGGCCAGGCGGGAGGUCCCUAAGAGGUGCAUCCAAGAAUGCAACAACCUCCAAGUAGAGAAGGCGUCCCUAGCCGAGAGGAAGAGACAACAAGAGCUGGAGCUGGAGGAAGUUAAGUCUCGCCUAGCUGAUGCCGAGAGUGACGCGGCAGGCCCUUGAGAUCAUAGCCAGUGAGUCUGUCUGUGCUUCAACUCAUAAUCUAGGUGGAAAUUUUAUUUGCCGAUCUGUCAUAGAAAUUCAUUAUUUCCAGCAUCUUUUCCCGAGCCAGUGCUGUUGGAGUGUCACUUAGGAAGAAACUGCAGCAGCUUGGAGAGUUGAACAAGAUCGCGAGGCCGACAAUGGAGGGUAUUUUCAAGGCCCUAUGGCCUGGAGAAAGGUUGUCGGAAAACCAGUUUGACCUCCCGCCGCCUCCCGGAGGGGCAUGCUCGGAUUGCCCUGUGAAAGGCCUUAGUGGCCUGAGAAGAUGCUCGUCAAGCUUGGGCCAUGCUCCAGACCCACUAUCCGGGCUUGAACAUCUGUCCUAUUGCCCUAGUUGGUCCAAAAGGACCUGUCGGUAAGGAGAUUAUGCCUAAUGGCAAUUUCCAACGGAUCAUGCCCUAUACUAGGAUGUCCGAGCAGGAUUGUCGUUUGGAAAAUAUUAUUGAAUAGGCUAGGAGCGAUUACCCUGGAAUGUCAAGGAUGAAAAGUUGUAUAAAAACUUCACGAAUUUCGCUCUAGCCAUGUUUAUUUUUUUCUAUACCGACAACAUGAUAGGUUUGGUCCGACCUGUUUAGCAUACGCUUGCAUUAACCAGCCUUUGGCUUCAACCUCCACAACCAAACGGGGAGGCCUUAUAAUUGAUGUUAACGCAAGGAGUAGGGAUCGCCAUGCAACUAGGAUGCAAACAUAUCUAUGAAUAUAUGAAAUCUCUCGCAAGGAUUAAGUAGGGGUGUGUCCAACUUGUUUGCUCAUGAAGACCUCGAGCAUUUGAUAAAGCUCAUCAUCGGGAUGUACAAGGAAAGUUCUACAACAUAAAUUCCCCAAGCUAGUAUAAAACAUGAAGCUCAUGAAACUUUAAUUAGAUGCUAAUUAUCCAGACCAACAAAAGUUCUUUAGUAAGAGUCUCUAAGAAAUAUAUUUCAUCGAAACUGUCCUACUCAGCUCGAGUGAACAGUUAAAUCCAAAAAAAAUUGAAACAAAAUUUCAAAAAAAUCUAAAUUUUUUUGGUGAUAAAUGUUUUCAAUGCUUGCAAAGUUUCAUCAUGUAAUUAUAUUUGUGGAAGUCAUGCAAAAAUAAUAUCGAUGCUUCAAAAAAGUUAUUUUCGGAGUGCUGAAUUUGUUUAUUGCCGUGACGAAGAUGAAUGCCAGUCUAUGAUGAAACUUUGCAAGGAUAUAUAACAUGUGUCAAAUUAAGCCACACACAAAAAAUCAGAAAUUUUUGAAUUCUUUCUAAAUAUUUUCAGAUUUUAUUGCUCACCCGAGCUCAUAUGAGCUCGAGCUCAGUUAAUCCGUGUCCAUGUUUCAUCCUAUUCUACUAGCAAAAACCAAUGGAGCAGAUGGUAGUGACGUGGAAAAGAAACCAUAAUAAUUUUGUAGUGAUAUAUAAUUAAAGAAACAGAAAUUUGCAAUUGCAAAUUAGGGAAUCUUAAUGUCAAAUACUGAAUUCUUCCACCCACUAGCUGUGAGACAUAUCCAUUGCAGUGCCAAAUAAAGAAACUUUUCCAUGAAUUAAUAACAGCAAGACAAUGGUCCGCGUGUUGUAUAUAAUAAAUAUUACACAGGUUUUGCAUAUGUGUAGCCGGUGCAUAUAGACCUAUGAGGAAUUACGUAUGCAUGCUCAAGAACCUAUGUUCGUACAUACAUACACAAAUCAUAUAGAACAAAAGGUAUGCUCCGGUCCGAAAGCAGAGUCGUGCAGCAGAGUUGUGGACAAAAGUGAAGUUCACAAAAGACCUUCAUACGAGAUAGGCCAUUGUUUCAACUCGUAGUUUAGGCCUUGCCGGACUCCUCGCAACCCGGUGGCCUGAAGGCGAUGAAGCUGACGCACUGCACCUGGCGCAGGUUGUCGAAGCCGAUGACACGGACAUAGGCGUCAGGGUACUCCUUCUUGACCUCCUCCACCUCGUUGAGCACCUGUGUGGCGUCGGUGCACCCAAACAUGGGCAGCUUCCACAUUGUCCAGUAUCGACCGUCGUAGUACCCGGGGGAGCUGUUGUGCUCACGGAAGACGAAGCCAACCUUGCUGAACUCGAGGCAGGGCACCCACUUGGAGCGGAUCAGGUAGUCGACCUGCUUCAGGAGGGCUUCCGUGGAGAGGGGUGGCAAGUAAGACAAGGUCUCGAACUUCUUGAUGCCCUCAAUUGGCCACACCUGAAUGAAUAGAAUGCGCACAGAUGCUCAAUACUUGGUGAUAAGUCAAUUAAUUGUACUAACAAUGCUAGAAUAAAUCAGACGGCAUGCCAAAAAUUGCUCCUUAUGGGCAGCUCUCAUAUGCAUUGCUGGGUUGUUCACAAUCAAUAAAGCUUUGGUUGUACUUAGUUCUAGUAUAUGGGUCCUAUUUCGAGGAUGGGUUUGGUUAUAUACAUCGGGGAUGUUCUGUAAGUGAAUUACUUGCACUGACAAAGAAACUCAUAUCAAUUAGUGCCCGACAUACCUGCAUGCACCUGAUCCUUCCGCCAUUGCUGACGCUGCCGAGGCUGGCGCUGGAGCGGCGGCUGACGGGGAGACCGGCUGUGGACUUGAGCCCCUGGAAGGGUGCAACGGUGGUAGCCGACGAAGCCAUCACGGCGGGGGCCAUGGUAUUCUAUUAACUGGAGGAGAGGAGGAUGCCGGCUACAGUUGAGGCCCCCAUUGCCGGGUCACCACGCUAUAUAUAGACUCGUUUCUUUGGUACAGAUGUGGUAGCGGUGGCUGACGUUCGCUGGUUGCCUCGUUUCCUUAUCUUCUCCGGAUCAGUGGAAGAAGCAUUGCCGUCGGAUACAUUGUGUGUGCUGGAAAUUUCAGUCCUUCAUGUCAUUAGGUGGCUGCCACACAACCUUUUUUCUAGCUUUGCUUGUUUUUGGGUGAGUUCCUUGAUAACAAAUUGUCUGAGGAUGCGAGUGAGUUGGGUGGGCAAAAUAUUUUCAUUUUAUCAUAAAAUUUGCUGGCUCACUCUUGAAACUAUGCUCAUAGGCGUAUAGUGUGCGUGUGUGCAAUCAUAGAGGGUGGUGUACAUACGUGUAUGUGAAUGUCUGCAUUUGUACAAUGUUUUUCAAAAUAAAAUAUAUGUUUUCUUGGUAGAAUUAACUGAACUAGCAUAGUAAAAUAUAUGUUUCCCCCCUCCAUAUCCGUCGAUGUGCCUAUGGAUUCGCCUCCCCUUGGAGGGAAGGGAAUUCUCUGUAAAGAAGUAGUGAUCUAAACGCUUUUAUAUUUCUUUACGGAGGGAGUAGGAUUUUAGUUCUUGUAGGAGUGGCGCUUGGACAGAUGGCGGCCCUUCUUCUUCGAGUCAAUCUUCCGGGAUCCGGUCGUCUUCAAGCUCCUCGGGCAUAUGCAAAACGAGAUUUGGUGUCAGGUUCUUCAGACCGAUUCAGGGAUUCGACGACGACGACUACGGCUCCAGAGCGUUCAUUCUUAGGGGCGUGUGCAUGAAGACUUCCUCGCUGCCAUCGACAAGGUCUGGCUAGAACCAGUGUGGGAGCAAAGACAACGGCUCGUUUUGACGGAGGCAAUGGUCGUUCGGUGUCGUUCGGUGGUCCAUAGACCUAGAUGUACUUUUUACUAUGUUUGAGGUGCUUUCUACUUUCGGUGAAUCUUUUCUUUUAGGGCAGGUGAUCUGCCUUUUCAUUGAUGUUUAGGAAGGUAUAGGGGAGGGCUAAAGUGCCAAAGGAAAGAAGAAAAACAUAAAAAAAAACAGAAAAGAGAUCCAGUUGCACAAAUCACUGAUGUACAAAGCGCUAGCCUAAGGCACGACUUUCGGUGAAUCUUUAUAUUAGAUCUUAUUCUUUACGCAAAAAAAAAAGAAAUUGAACUAGGAGGUAAAAGCACUAGAGGUCCUAGAACUUGGCUAACAUGUGAUGGUUUAGUCCUAAAACUUGCAAAAGUGAACUAUGUAGUCCUAUAACUUGUACACAACCUGCAAAUUUAGUCCAAAGCCAAUCAGAGGCGGCCAAGUGGCGCCAGCUGGCUGUGUUUCAUUUUGCAUAUACCCCCUUUUUUUGUCAAAUUAACCCGCAAGUACUAGUAAUACACGGGGCUAGCAGCAGCAGUAGGGCUAGCUAGUGCGGGCUUUGAGAAUUGAGAUUGGUUCAUCAUGUGAAACUGCAAUCUCCCUUCCAAUCAAACACAUUAAGAUACGCAGGUUGGGCGCUUCCUAGGCUAUGCCACGUCGGAUCGCUGGAAGACAAAACAGAUCGCUGCAAAAAAAAGAUUGCUGGGAGAAAAAAUGAUGGUCGGUUGGGCAGCGGCCAAAUAACACAUGCCUCUCGAUCUGCUUUCCCUUCCUCACUAAGAAAUAUCCAAUUCCACACGCAACCUCGUAGUCGCAUCGCUCUCCUCGACAACUGCUACGCGUCCAUGCGCCGCCACCGCCGCCACUUCUCCCGCGCCUUCUCCUCCCAGUUCCUCUCUGCCCUACGCCACCCCCGCCUCCUUGACCACCUAUCUCCUCCUCUGGGAGCACUACUUUCAGUUUUCCAUUCCAAUUGGAUGGUCUACAACAUUGAUCCAUAUUUUGUAGGAACACUUAUAUUGCUGAACUGAACUUGAUAUCAAAUCAGUGUUUAGUUUAUAAAUAAUUUCUAUAAGUGAUACAUCUUUCAGUGUAAAUGCAUUUUUUCUCAAGACUACUUGGGGAAAAAAUAGCAGACAUCAAAUGAAAUGUAUAAUUUUGUCAUCGGAAAAUCAAAUGAAAGCCACGGAAAGACCCCAAAACAUCAUAUUAAGAUCACCAUUGACUAUCCAAAUCUAAGUCCACCGCAUUCGUUAUAAAGAAAUUCUUUUCCAUGAAACUAAACCACGCCAACACUAAAAUUCAUGAACGAAAGUCAUCCAUAAUAUUAUGUUUCAUUAUAUGAGACGGUAGUUAUUUCGUCAUUUAAAGUGAUGAUAUGGCUCCAUCGUGGUAUUAGAUGUGGCCUUUCCUAUGACGAUGUGGUAUCAUCAUUUUUUUCUAAUCUAAUAAAAAGUCUUACAUAUUGGUCUCACAAUCCGAAAACUCUCCUUUGCACGCACGCGUUGGGACUGGUGAAGCGCUCCGCACAAGAAGUCAGGUUCCGACCGCGCGCUAUAUUCCUUUCCAAACUUUGGCAUGCCGUUUAACUGAGAAUGGUGGCCCCACAUAGUAUCGCAGCCCACUGUCAUGGAACUAAAUGUGUUGGGCUCACCCCACAUGUUACACGCAUUCACGGAAGGGCUAGUUGUGGUGUCAUCUUGGUUUUCACUUCAGUGUGAUUUCUUUGAUUUCACUGAAUUUCAGGAAUUUCAGUAGACACCGAAAUAUUUACCUUUCAAUCAGAAUAUUUCAGUCAUUUCAGUUGUACACAUGAAUUCAAAUAUUUUCAAAAUAUCUUUAAAUAUUGUUUUGAAUUUCAAGUGAAUAUUUUGGUCUUUUGGCCAAAAUGCAAGCUGAAAUUACUGAAAUUCAGUAACUUUGGUAGGUACUGAAACAACCGUAGGGUUUUUGCCUGAAUAUGAAUUUUGUCAUGAAACAUAUAGGGUUUUGACCUCCGAUGUAGGUUCUAUAACAAAAUUGAUAGUUUCGUCAUGGAAGGACCUAUGUUUAUGACAAAAACACAAAACAUCACAGAUAAUUCAUUAUAGAAGGCCAAAACUUUACUAGUAGAAGAUAUCUUGGGACUCGUCAAUUGGAUAUGUAAUUUGCACAUAUUUGUCUAGUCCACACGUUCUCUGGUUUAUUGGAAUUGCUGCAAUACUGUAAAAAAAUAGUAUCUAAUUGCGGUGUAAAAUGGUUAGAAAAAGUGACAUGUCUUUGAUGAAUCGAUGAUGGAAUAUGCCUCACAAGACAAGUGCACUAUGGUAUUUUGUCCUUGUCUUGUUUUGACACCUGUUGUUUGUCCUUUUUCUAGUUUUUAAAUUUUAGUUUUUGGCUUUUUAUUAUUAUCUGGUUCUCAUCAAUGUCCUACUGUUUUGCCACUAGUUUUCAAUGGGGUCACACCAUCUCUUUAUGUGUUUCCCACAGUAUUUUUUGACGUACUUUGGUAUUCCAUAAGAAUUUUCGCAUUAGAUAAUACACAUCAUAUGAUUGAGCAAAAAAUGUAAGAGAAUAAAACAUUGCAAGGCAUAGGCAUUUCCAGUUGCAAACAAAGUUUCUUUUCCAUCAAUUGAUGGCAAGACAAUAAUCCGCGGAUUGCAUAUAAUAUAUAUGUGUAUGUGUAGCCGGUGCUAUAAUUCUGACAUGCAUCCUCCUCGGCCUACGUUGGUAGGUGCUUACAUAUGCUCAUAUAUUCACAUAUGAGUAGAACCAGAAAUAAAACCGAGAAAGCAGAGCUGCUGACAAAUGUGAACUAACAUGGCAUGUAUAUCGGACUUGCACUUUAGGCCUUGCCGGAUUCCUCGCAGCCUGGUGGCCUGAAGGCAAUGAAGCUGACGCACUGCACCUGGCGCAUGUUGUCGAAGCCAAUGACGCGGACAUAGGCGUCAGGGUACUCCUUCUUGACCUCCUCCACCUCAUUGAGCACCUGCGUGGCGUCAGUGCACCCGAACAUAGGCAGCUUCCACAUUGUCCAGUAUCGACCGUCGUAGUACCCGGGGGAGCUGUUGUGCUCACGGAAGACGAAGCCAACCUUGCUAAACUCGAG
rnacentral:lncRNA from 1 species